rnacentral:rRNA from 1 species
UACGGAGGGUGCAAGCGUUGCUCGGAAUUAUUGGGCGUAAAGGGUAGGUAGGUGGUCUCGUUUGUCUGAGGUGAAAUCCUUGAGCUUAACUCAAGAAGUGCCUCAGAAACGGCGAGACUAGAGUUCUGGAGAGGGUCGUGGAAUUCCCGGUGUAGCGGUGAAAUGCGUAGAGAUCGGGAGGAACACCAGAGGCGAAGGCGGCGACCUGGACAGAUACUGACACUCAACUACGAAAGCGUGGGGAGCAAACAGG